rnacentral:rRNA from 1 species
GACGAACGCUGGCGGCGUGCUUAACACAUGCAAGUCGAACGAUGAAACGGUUUCGGCCGGGGAUUAGUGGCGAACGGGUGAGUAACACGUGGGCAAUCUGCACUGCACUCUGGGAUAAGCCCGGGAAACUGGGUCUAAUACCGGUUACGACACUCCGAGGCAACUUGGGGUGUGGAAAGUUCCGGCGGUGCAGGAUGAGCCCGCGGCCUAUCAGCUUGUUGGUGGGGUAAUGGCCUACCAAGGCGACGUCGGGUAGCCGGCCUGAGAGGGUGACCGGCCACACUGGGACUGAGGCACGGCCCAGACUCCUACGGGAGGCAGCGGGGGGAAAUAUUGCACAAUAGGCGAAAGCCUGAUGCAGCGACGCCGCGUGAGGGAUGACGGCCUUCGGGUUGUAAACCUCUUUCAGCAGGGAAGAAGCGAAAGUGACGGUACCUGCAGAAGAAGCACCGGCUAACUACGUG